rnacentral:lncRNA from 1 species
AUCUAAAUUGGCAUGAUAUGUUGCAAGCCAGUCCAUUCCUAAUAUAAUGUCGAAGUCGUGCAUAUCUAGAAGUAUAAGGCCUACUGGCAUUUUCCUGCUAGCUAUCUCUAUGAUACAGUCUCAACACAUUAUACGAGCCAUUAAGUCUUUGUUGUUGGGGGGUGGAGACUACUAGUGUGAAAUCUAGCGGUGUAUUAUCGACAUUCAGAUAUUGUGCACAACCAAAUAAAACAAAAGAAUGCAUAGAUCCUAGGUCUAUCAGGACUCUAGCCAAUAUACCAGAGACAGUAAGCAUACCUUGGAUUACGUCUUGAUAAACUUCAAUAUCUUUCUUU